rnacentral:sRNA from 1 species
CACCGCCUGGGGAGUACGACCGCAAGGUUAAAACUCAAAUGAAUUGACGGGGACCCGCACAAGUAGUGGAGCAUGUGGUUUAAUUCGAAGAUACGCGCAGAACCUUACCAACACUUGACAUGUUCGUCGCGACCUUAAGAGAUUAAGGUUUUCGGUUCGGCCGGACGAAACACAGGUGCUGCAUGGCUGUCGUCAGCUCGUGUCGUGAGAUGUUGGGUUAAGUCCCGCAACGAGCGCAACCCUCACUUUUAGUUGCCAUCAUUUAGUUGGGCACUCUGAAAGAACUGCCAGUGAUAAGCUGGAGGAAGGUGGGGAUGACGUCAAGUCCUCAUGGCCCUUACGUGUUGGGCUACACACGUGCUACAAUGGCAUCUACAAUAGGAAGCAAGAUGGCGACAUUGAGCAAAUCCUAAAAAGAUGCCUCAGUUCGGAUUGCACUCUGCAACUCGAGUGCAUGAAGCUGGAAUUACUAGUAAUCGCGGAUCAGCGCGCCGCGGUGAAUACGUUCCCGGGUCUUGUACACACCGCCCGUCACACCAUGGGAGUUGGUUCUACCUUAAGGCAGAGUUUAAAACCUCUGACCACGGUAUAGUCAGCGACUGGGGUGAAGUCGUAACAAGGUAGCCGUAGGGGAACCUGCGGCUGGAUUACCUCCUUUCUAAGGAUGGUUAAGAAAAAUUUCUUAACCUAAAUAAUUAACAGGUUAAUGUUGACCGUCCUCAUUUCUCUUCUUAAAAGUGUUUCUCUUUACUGAAUAGGGGCCGGUAGCUCAGUUGGUUAGAGCACACCCUUGAUAAGGGUGGGGUCGAAAGUUCGAGUCUUUCUCGGCCCACCAUAUUAUUUGGGGGAUUAGCUCAGCUGGGAGAGCGCCUGAUUUGCAUUCAGGAGGUCAGCGGUUCGAUCCCGCUAUCCUCCACCAGAAACACUUAGCUAUUAAAAUUGUGAAUAAAUUAAUAAUAUCAAUAUCUAUAUCCGAUUGUUCUAAAAAUGAACAAUCAAGAAUGUUCGAAUAGAUGAACAUUCCAACAAAAUUUGAUUCAACACAGAAUUUUUUUCUG